AUCUAGGCUUCAUUUGAAGCCAAAAUUAUAAAAAAAAUGUUUU
rfam:Apaloderma vittatum contig34240, whole genome shotgun sequence.